GACGAACCGUGCGAACGUUGUUCGGAUUCACUGGGCUUAAAGGGCGCGUAGGCGGGCUUGUAAGUCAGGGGUGAAAUCCUCCGGCUCAACCGGAGAACAGCCUUUGAUACUGCAAGUCUCGAGGGAGAUAGGGGUCUGCGGAACUUCCGGUGGAGCGGUGAAAUGCGUAGAUAUCGGAAGGAACGCCGGUGGCGAAAGCGGCGGACUGGAUCUCAUCUGACGCUGAGGCGCGAAAGCUAGGGGAGCGAACGGG
rnacentral:rRNA from 1 species